AAUUCGAUUGAGUUUGAUCCUGGCUCAGGACGAACGCUGGCGGCAUGCCUAAUACAUGCAAGUCGAGCGGAAUGAUGAGAGCUUGCUCUCUGAUUUUAGCGGCGGACGGGUGAGUAACACGUGGGCAACCUGCCCUAUAGAUGGGGAUAACUCCGGGAAACCGGGGCUAAUACCGAAUAAUCAGUUUGUCCGCAUGGACAAACUCUGAAAGACGGUUUCGGCUGCCACUGUAGGAUGGGCCCGCGGCGCAUUAGCUAGUUGGUGGGGUAAUGGCCUACCAAGGCGACGAUGCGUAGCCGACCUGAGAGGGUGAUCGGCCACACUGGGACUGAGACACGGCCCAGACUCCUACGGGAGGCAGCAGUAGGGAAUCUUCCACAAUGGACGAAAGUCUGAUGGAGCAAUGCCGCGUGAGCGAAGAAGGUUUUCGGAUCGUAAAGCUCUGUUGUAAGGGAAGAACACGUACGGGAGUAACUGCCCGUGCCAUGACGGUACCUUAUUAGAAAGCCACGGCUAACUACGUGCCAGCAGCCGCGGUAAUACGUAGGUGGCAAGCGUUGUCCGGAAUUAUUGGGCGUAAAGCGCGCGCAGGCGGUUCUUUAAGUCUGAUGUGAAAGCCCACGGCUCAACCGUGGAGGGUCAUUGGAAACUGGAGAACUUGAGUACAGAAGAGGAAAGCGGAAUUCCACGUGUAGCGGUGAAAUGCGUAGAGAUGUGGAGGAACACCAGUGGCGAAGGCGGCUUUCUGGUCUGUAACUGACGCUGA
rnacentral:rRNA from 1 species